CGUUUUGUAGUCCAAUGGUUAGGAUAAUUGCCUUCCAAGCAAUAAUAGACCCCGGUUCGACUCCCGGCAGACGC
rnacentral:tRNA from 1 species